UCAUUAUCAUGGCGCCGUGUUUGAUUGCAUUGUUUGAUCAAUUCUCCUCGGGCAAGAGUAAUGAGAUCCCAGGGCUGAGAGAAAACACUGGGAGGACGUUACUGUGUCUGCUGCUCUACAUCACAUGCAUCUCUUAGAGAACACACACAUUAUUUGUCAGCAGGUGAAACAAACCGGAGAGCACUGGAUUAUGUUUUUCAUGUAGAAGUGCAGCAAUAGAGAGGGAUUUGUGCCACAAAGAGCCUCACAUUUGUCCUCACUUGCACCCACUUUGUUUACCACCAGACCAACAGCUGGGACUCCUUCAAUCAAGGUUAUGGCAGCAAUCUCCCAGAAUGCCACGCAGCGCCAUGAAUCCCCCCUGGGGUGACAUCCAGUGUUUUUAAUCUCGCCAGGAGUCAGAUGCAGGGGAGCCAGUUACUGUCUCUUUUCAGCUUCUCUUCAGAUAACCAGAAUCAAUUUCCCAGCCUGAUGAAAAUCUCAGUGAGCGCCGGCAGGCCAGAGCGAAGGGAAAGAUCGGGUGAAAGAUUGCUGGUGUUAUGUAAGUAUGUUAAACGUUGCGUUUGCACAGCAAGAGAAAGAACACGGCGGUCUCGCGCUGCAGCAGUGAUUCAUCCUGCUGUCAUGUUAGGAGGUUAACUAAAAAUAAACAAAUAUCUGCCAACAUCGUUCAUGACUAAUUAAAACGUCUGAUUUUGUCCUGGUAAUCGGUCUUGCUUUCAUAUAAAGUGAUAUAUUGAUCCCACGAGCUGGGAAGAGCACAAUGCUUCACAUUCACCAUUGUGCAGACACACUGAUGCAGGGACCAGCUUGGGGUUUAAUCACUAACCACAGGUACUACCAGCCUCCUUUAAGUCUUGGGGUCACAUUAUUUUUCCUUGUAGCACACAAACUGUCAGUAUCUAUCGCGGACAUUUUUAGUUAGCAGCUUGGCUCUAUAGAUGGCAAUGUUGGCUUAUUGUUUGGUCCAGACUAAAAUAUCUCAACAAAUAUUGGAAGGAUUGCCAUUAAACUUUGUGCAGACAUUCAAUGUCUGAGCCCCAUUUUAACAUCACAUUUCUCCGCCUCAUGGCAUCCCCGUGUGCACCGCAACACACAGAAAGCUAGCAUAACUUAGCUAAAUAACACAGUACCACAGCUAGCCAUUGUGCAUUUAAACCCACCCAUGAAGAGGCAGCAAAGACCAAGCAGGACUUCUAUUUACAAUCAAGACUACCUGGUAUUAAACUGAAAUAUAUGGCUUCUGUAUGUGCCUGCAUAGAGUUGUGUAUUUAUUUAUUAACCAUACUAUUUCAUUAGUAGGGUGUUAUUUUUGUUAUACAACUAGGAUAGUUAUUCUUGACACAUCCCACUUUUUAACCAUCAAUAUGACAGAAUAGUUCAACGUACUGCAGAUAAAGAAUCUUGAAUCGAUUUAUCUCUUGCAACAAAUAAUAAAGUAACUUAGGCAGUGACCAGUGCUAAAUGAAGAGCCAUUAGGGAGCGGUGAGGACAGGAAGUCAAGUGAAAUAGCAACAAACUAGUAAAUAAUGGUCUAGUAAGUUUUGGCCUUCAUGUCACUUAGGGUAACGUUACUCUAUUAAAGACCUACCACUCAUACUGACAGCUGUCACAUCAUGAUUUGCGCUGCACCGGUCCGAGUCAUCCACUCGUCAUGUUGGGGCUGACAGCUCUGAACUAUCAAUGCCGUUCAAUCCUGACAAAGUGGGGGAAUCUUCUCCAUAAAUAUCAGUUAAUAUUCGGCUGUAUGCAGAUGUUUUUGGUGAAGGACCCUGUUGGCAGGUUUUUAAGAGCCGAUGAAUCCUUUUUGGCUUUUCAUAAGAGAUCUUUCCAUUUCUUCCUGACCUCUUCAACUGUCCGCCAUCACAUUCGUUAUUGAUUGCACUGGUGAUCGAUUUCCAUGCUGAUAAUUUUUGUUUGUUUGUGUUGUUUCAUUUCACUGUGAGAACCUUUCUAUGCCCUGCAUACAACUCUAUAAGUUUUCUUAUUUCUCUAUCGGUAAAAAUAAUGUUCCUUUUCUUUUGGUUUGUGUUAUCCAUACCUUGUGCACGCUUUGGCAACAAUCAUCGCGUGUAUUCACAUGGACAUAAAUCAUAAGACCGAGCGCAGCUACAGUGCUUGGUGCCCUCGGUGUGAAUUCAAACCACAAAGUCGGACGUAGCUAAGACCCAGCCCAGCUGGUGCACUCGCCUCCUGGAGUCUACGCUGGUUGCUUGGCAGCAGCUGCAGCCUCCUGGGUCAAACCAUCCACUCUGCAAAUCCCCCCCCCCCUCCUGCUGCUGUUGCACAUGUACAGAGGACAGAAACAAAAACAGGUGAAGGUUGUUUGGAUCUGCCACAGUGAACAUCUGCCAUGUGUGUUUUUUGACAGCAGAGAAAGCAGCCCUCCCCCCACAGAGGCCACAGCAAUCCGACAAAUGAGAGCUCCACGUGUGGACACAACGCUGCGUGGACACGUGCACAGAAGGAAAAUAAAUUGCAGCCUGACAUUGCUCUCGCCUGCUUGGCUCAGUUUUUUUUUUUUCUCCGAGCACUUCCUUGACAACGGCACUACAGAGAGAAUAUUUAUUUUCAUCACCAGCCCUGUCCACCAAGGCCUCCUCUGUUCGUCUUUGACCAAAACCAUCUCAGUAAUUGGAGCGAAUGGUUUACAGUCAUCAUUAAAUUCUCAAAGUACAAUA